UUUUUAGGGCCCGAGCCAGCUGCAGAGCAGCUGGGCGUAGAGCCCUAUUAUUCCUGAUGAGUUUUUCUUUCUUCUUUCUUUCUUUCUUUCUUUCUUUCUUUCUUUCUUUCUUCUUAUUUUUCCUCCCCUUUGAAGGGGAAAAUGGCCCACUUCCCACUGGCGAAAACUCAUGAAAUUUGGCAGGAUGACCGGGCCUGGUGAAAAAUUCGAUAUUCUGAAGUCGCCCAAACAAUAAAAUGCAAAAUGGCUCCAUAGCGCCCCCUAAGGUGGAAAUUCACACUAUUGACUGUCACGCCUGUACGCUUUGUCAUAUUGACACAAAA
rnacentral:lncRNA from 1 species